UAAAGUUGCUGCAGUUAAAAAGCUCGUAGUUGAACGUUCGGGUUCCGCGGGACGGGGCCGCCCCGCGAGGGACGGCGCCGCCCCGGGGCUCGUGAUAUCUCAUCUCGCCGCCCGUCGCGAGGCGGACGGAGGGAUGGAUGAGGUUACCUGGGAAAAAAAUCGGGGCGAUCUAGGCGGGCGAAACCUCGCCAACGAACGAUCGGACAUGGGAUAACGGAAGAGGGCGUCGGCUCGACUUCGUCGGUUCCUCGGGGCCGAGGCACGUACGGUGAAUAGGGACGGUCGGGGCCGCCCGUACGGGUCGUGAGAGGUGAAAUUCUAGGAUCGACCCGAGACGAACCGCCGCGAAAGCAUUCGGCAAGGGACGCUUUCAUUAAUCAAGAACGAAAGUCGGGGAUCGAAGACGAUCAGAUACCGUCGUAGUCCCGACCGUAAACGAUGCCGA
rnacentral:rRNA from 1 species